rnacentral:rRNA from 1 species
UACGAAGGGGGCUAGCGUUGCUCGGAAUCACUGGGCGUAAAGCGCACGUAGGCCGAUUGUUAAGUCAGGGGUGAAAUCCUGGAGCUCAACUCCAGAACUGCCCUUGAUACUGUCGGUCUCGAGUCCGGGAGAGGUGAGUGGAACUGCGAGUGUAGAGGUGAAAUUCGUAGAUAUUCGCAAGAACACCAGUGGCGAAGGCGGCUCACUGGCCCGGUACUGACGCUGAGGUGCGGAAGCGUGGGGAGCAAGCAGG